rnacentral:misc_RNA from 1 species
AACCUGCGGAUCAUUGUCGAAUCCUGCAAGCAGACGACCGCGAACAUGUUAUCAAUUCAAUUGCCCUCGGGCCUCGAAUUUUGUCCUGCUAAGGGGUCGCGAGUCCUGUAACAACUAAACACCGGCACAAAAAGUGCCAAAUAAAACAUUUUGCCCCGCGAUCGCGGGUGACAUGCAGUGGGCGAUGGUUCCAUUAUUGAGUUGAUCGUUUAACCACAACGACUCUCGGCAACGGAUAUCUAGGCUCUCGCAUCGAUGAAGAUGAAUUGCAGAAUCCCGUGAACCAUCGAGUUUUUGAACGCAAGUUGCGCCCAAAGAACACUCCUUCAUCAACCCGUCCGGCCUGGGCGUCACGCAUUGCGUCGCCACCCCACCACUUCUCUUUCGAGUCAUGUGCGGGGUGACGGAUGUUGGCCUCCCGUGCAACGUUUGUGGCGCGGUUGGCCUAAAUGCGAGUCUCUGGCAAUUUCAACAAAUUGUCCUGGGCUACAAGACACAACCAGUGGUGGUUGAUCCUUUUCCUUUUUUUUAGAAGAAAAGAAAUAUUUCAAGAAGUAGUUCCAAUUUAUUGAUUGGCAUUAACCCGGGAUUGUUCUUUCGAGAAAAGAAUUCCACUUUUAGAUCGAGCUCCAUCA